rnacentral:rRNA from 1 species
UACGUAGGGUGCAAGCGUUGUCCGGAAUUAUUGGGCGUAAAGAGCUCGUAGGCGGUCUGUCGCGUCGAAUGUGAAAACCCGGGGGCUCAACCCCGGGCCUGCAUUCGAUACGGGCAGACUAGAGUUCGGUAGGGGAGUCUGGAAUUCCUGGUGUAGCGGUGGAAUGCGUAGAGAUCCGGAAGAACACCGGUGGCGAAGGCGGCGGCCUGGGUCCAGACUGACACUGAGGUGCGAAAGCAUGGGGAGCAAACAGG